UGGGGAAUCUUGGACAAUGGGCGCAAGCCUGAUCCAGCAAUGCCGCGUGGGUGAAGAAGGCCUUCGGGUUGUAAAGCCCUUUUGUCAGGGAGCAAAUCCUUGGACUUAAUACGUCCCGGGGAUGAGAGUACCUGAAGAAUAAGGACCGGCUAACUACGUGCCAGCAGCCGCGGUAAUACGUAGGGUCCAAGCGUUAAUCGGAAUUACUGGGCGUAAAGCGUGCGCAGGUGGCUUGUUAAGACCGAUGUGAAAUCCCCGGGCUCAACCUGGGAACUGCAUUGGUGACUGGCUCGCUAGAGUACGGCAGAGGGGGGUGGAAUUCCACGUGUAGCAGUGAAAUGCGUAGAGAUGUGGAGGAACACCGAUGGCGAAGGCAACCCCCUGGGCUGAUACUGACACUCAUGCACGAAAGCGUGGGGAGCAAACAGGAUUAGAUACCCCCGUAGUCC
rnacentral:rRNA from 1 species